rnacentral:rRNA from 1 species
CCUACGGGGGGCAGCAGUGAGGAAUAUUGGUCAAUGGCCGUAAGGCUGAACCAGCCAAGUCGCGUGAAGGAAGAAGGAUCUAUGGUUUGUAAACUUCUUUUAUAGGGGAAUAAAGGUAUCCACGUGUGGAUAUUUGCAUGUACCCUAUGAAUAAGCAUCGGCUAACUCCGUGCCAGCAGCCGCGGUAAUACGGAGGAUGCGAGCGUUAUCCGGAUUUAUUGGGUUUAAAGGGUGCGCAGGCGGAGGCACAAGUCAGCGGUAAAAUCGCGGGGCUCAACCCCGCUCCGCCGUUGAAACUGUGUCCCUUGAGUGCGCGAAGGGUAGGCGGAAUGCGUGGUGUAGCGGUGAAAUGCAUAGAUAUCACGCAGAACUCCGAUCGCGAAGGCAGCCUACCGGCGCGCAACUGACGCUCAUGCACGAAAGCGUGGGUAUCGAACAGGAUUAGAUACCCUAGUAGUC